rnacentral:rRNA from 1 species
CCCGAUAAGCGCUGAAAGCAUAUAAGCGCGAAACGGACCUCAAGAUAAGUUCUCCCUUAAGACCACUUGAAGACUACAAGUUUGAUAGGUGGGGUGUGUAAGUACAGUAAUGUAUUUAGCUGACCCAUACUAAUCGGUCGAUCGGCUUGAUUUU